rnacentral:lncRNA from 1 species
UUCAGGGUCCUCAUAUAAAGGAGUCGAUGUGUAUAAAGUGCUUCAACAACUUGGUGAUUUGUUGGUAGUCACUCUUAUCAGUUUAUAUACUGAGCACCCACUAUGUGCCUAUGCUGGGACAGAUACUGGGGCGACAGUGUCCCCUUCACAAACACAGCAUCACUUAAAAUCAUGAUGAAGACUACACAGAAGAAAUAUAGAAGCUAGGAGCACACAUAAUGGUCAUGUGACCUUGUAAGGACAAACAGGAAGAAGAUCAGUUUAAGAUAAAAUCUAAACAAUGAACCAGGGGGUCACCAGACAAGUGACAAGAGAGUGUUCCAAGUUUACAAAAACAAACCAAAGCAUGUACAAAUAUCCUGAGGUGGGAAGAAGCAUGACGAUUUUGCAGAACUGAAAGGGAGACCAGUGUAGACAGGGCAUAAUGUGGGGUGAAUGACCUUAGAGGGAAGGGCUUAUUUCCCAUUCCUGGCAUUUCCUGUCCUCUCUCUGUCCCUUGUCCCAGAGAAGACAAAUGAUUAUUCUGUCUAGUGAGUUUGGGAAAGGGGUUGAAGCUCAGCUACAGCCUUAGUCUCCCUCAGGGAUCUCUUGGCAGUUAAGGUUUGGCCCCUCUGGGGUGAAGACUGUAGUCCUGUGUCCCCUGGGGCUGGCUGUGUAGGCUGCUCAAUGCUGUGGAGUUAGGAAGCCCAGCGUCGACACAUAAGCCACCAUCCCUUACAGGACAUACCUGACCAUGCAGCUGGGGUUUUGAUCUUAAUCUUCUGGACUCCACAGAGUUUACAUUCAGGCAGGUAAGGAAAGGGAGUCACUUAUGGGGCCGCAUGGGAAGGGCCAGAUCUUGCAAGGUCUUCCCAGCCACGUGCUAGUCCUCCAUGUUUCCAGGGGCCAGAUUCGGGUGUUUUUUAGUUUGGAG